rnacentral:rRNA from 1 species
UUGAGAGUUUGAUCCUGGCUCAGGACGAACGCUGGCGGCGUGCCUAACACAUGCAAGUCGAGCGAAGCGCAUUUUUUAGCUUGCUAAGAGAUGUGACUGAGCGGCGAACGGGUGAGUAACACGUGGGUGAUCUGCCUGAAAGUCUGGGAUAACAGUUCGAAAGGGCUACUAAUACCGGAUGAAGUUAUUAGUGUAGAGCUAAUAAUCAAAGCGUUACGGAGCGCUUUCAGAUGAGCCCGCGUCCCGUUAGCUAGUUGGUGGGGUAAAGGCUCACCAAGGCGACGAUGGGUAGCCGGUCUGAGAGGAUGGUCGGCCACACUGGAACUGAGACACGGUCCAGACUCCUACGGGAGGCAGCAGUGGGGAAUUUUGCGCAAUGGGGGCAACCCUGACGCAGCGACGCCGCGUGAGCGAAGAAGGCCUUCGGGUUGUAAAGCUCUGUCUGGGGGGAAGAUAGUGACGGUACCCCCGGAGGAAGCCCCGGCUAACUACGUGCCAGCAGCCGCGGUAAGACGUAGGGGGCGAGCGUUGUCCGGAAUUACUGGGCGUAAAGGGCGUGUAGGCGGCCUGCCAAGUCAGCUGUGAAAUUCCUCGGCUUAACCGGGGCCCUGCGGUUGAAACUGGUAGGCUUGAGUGCAGAAGAGGAGGGUGGAAUUCCCGGUGUAGCGGUGAAAUGCGUAGAUAUUGGGAGGAACACCGGUGGCGAAGGCGGCCUUCUGGUCUAUAACUGACGCUGAGGCGCGAAAGCCAGGGGAGCAAACAGGAUUAGAUACCCUGGUAGUCCUGGCUGUAAACGCUGGGUACUAGGUGUAGGGGGUUUAGACGCCCUCUGUGCCGUAGUUAACGCAUUAAGUACCCCGCCUGGGGAGUACGAUCGCAAGGUUGAAACUCAAAGGAAUUGACGGGGGCCCGCACAAGCGGUGGAGCAUGUGGUUUAAUUCGACGCAACGCGAAGAACCUUACCAGGGCUUGACAUCUAGCUGACACAUAUUAGAGAUAGUAUGUUCUCUUCGGAGCAGUUAGACAGGUGGUGCAUGGUUGUCGUCAGCUCGUGUCGUGAGAUGUUGGGUUAAGUCCCGCAACGAGCGCAACCCUUAUUCUUAGUUGCCAGCAUUUAAGGUGGGCACUCUAGGGAGACUGCCGGUGACAAACCGGAGGAAGGUGGGGAUGACGUCAAAUCAUCAUGCCCUUUAUGUCCUGGGCUACACACGUGCUACAAUGGCCGGUACAACGGGUAGCGAGGCUGCGAAGUUUAGCCAAUCCCUUAAAGCCGGUCUCAGUUCGGAUUGCAGGCUGCAACUCGCCUGCAUGAAGUUGGAAUCGCUAGUAAUCGCGGAUCAGCAUGCCGCGGUGAAUACGUUCCCGGGCCUUGUACACACCGCCCGUCACACCACGAAAGCCGGCAAUACCCGAAGUCGGUGGGCCAACCGUAAGGAGGCAGCCGCCGAAGGUAGGGCUGGUAAUUGGGGUGAAGUCGUAACAAGGUAGCCGUAGAAUCGAAUUCCCGC